UACGUAGGGUGCAAGCGUUGUCCGGAAUUAUUGGGCGUAAAGAGCUCGUAGGCGGUUUGUUGCGUCGGCUGUGAAAACCUGAGGCUCAACCUCAGGCCUGCAGUCGAUACGAGCAGACUAGAGUGUUGUAGGGGAGAUUGGAAUUCCUGGUGUAGCGGUGGAAUGCGCAGAUAUCAGGAGGAACACCAAUAGCGAAGGCAGCUCGCUGGGACGUACUGACACUGAGGCGCGGAAAGCGUGGGGAGCGAACAGG
rnacentral:rRNA from 1 species